GACGAACGCUGGCGGCGUGCUUAACACAUGCAAGUCGAACGAAGUGGCGAACGGGUGAGUAACGCGUAAUCAACCUGCCCUUCAGAGGGGGACAACAGUUGGCAACGACUGCUAAUACCGCAUACUGAAGGAGGGGAUUGCGUCUGAUUAGCUAGGUGGCGGGGUAACGGCCCGCCAAGGCGAUGAUCAGUAGCCGGUGUGAGAGGAUGAACGGCCACAUUGGGACUGAGACACGGCCCAGACUCCUACGGGAGGCAGCAGUGGGGAAGAGUACGAAAUGGAAGAAAGUCUGACGGAGAAACGCCGCGUGAGUGAUGAGGGCCUUCGGGUUGUAAAGCUCUGUUAAUCGGGACGCGGUACCGGAAUAGAAAGCCACGGCUAACUACGUGCCAGCAGCCGCGGUAAUUC
rnacentral:rRNA from 1 species